rnacentral:rRNA from 1 species
AUCCUGGCUCAGAUUGAACGCUGGCGGCAUGCCUUACACAUGCAAGUCGAAACGGCAGCACGGGAGCAAUCCUGGUGGCGAGUGGCGAACGGGUGAGUAAUAUAUCGGAACGUGCCCGGUCGUGGGGGAUAACGUAGCGAAAGCUACGCUAAUACCGCAUACGAUCUACGGAUGAAAGCGGGGGAUCGCAAGACCUCGCGCGAUUGGAGCGGCCGAUAUCAGAUUAGGUAGUUGGUGAGGUAAAGGCUCACCAAGCCGACGAUCUGUAGCUGGUCUGAGAGGACGACCAGCCACACUGGGACUGAGACACGGCCCAGACUCCUACGGGAGGCAGCAGUGGGGAAUUUUGGACAAUGGGCGAAAGCCUGAUCCAGCCAUGCCGCGUGUGUGAAGAAGGUCUUCGGAUUGUAAAGCACUUUAAGUUGGGAGGAAGGGUAGUAACCUAAUACGUUGCUACUUUGACGUUACCGACAGAAUAAGCACCGGCUAACUUCGUG